rnacentral:rRNA from 1 species
AGAGGGGGCAAGCGUUAUUCGGAAUUAUUGGGCGUAAAGGGCGCGUAGGCGGCCGUUCAAGUGGGAGGUGAAAUCCCUCGGCUCAACCGAGGAUCUGCCCCCCAAACUGAAUGGCUUGAGUCCGGGAGAGGUGAGUGGAAUUCCCAGUGUAGCGGUGAAAUGCGUAGAUAUUGGGAGGAACACCAGUGGCGAAGGCGGCUCACUGGACCGGCACUGACGCUGAGGCGCGAAAGCGUGGGGAGCAAACGGGAUUAGAUACCCCGGUAGUCCACGCUGUAAACGAUGAGUGCUUGGUGUAGCGGGUAUCGACCCCUGCUGUGCCGAAGCUAACGCAUUAAGCACUCCGCCUGGGGAGUACGGUCGCAAGGCUGAA